UGCAGUCGAGCGGACAGAUGGGAGCUUGCUCCCUGAUGUUAGCGGCGGACGGGUGAGUAACACGUGGGUAACCUGCCUGUAAGACUGGGAUAACUCCGGGAAACCGGGGCUAAUACCGGAUGCUUGUUUGAACCGCAUGGUUCAGACAUAAAAGGUGGCUUCGGCUACCACUUACAGAUGGACCCGCGGCGCAUUAGCUAGUUGGUGAGGUAACGGCUCACCAAGGCGACGAUGCGUAGCCUACCUGAGAGGGGAAUCGGCCACACUGGGACUGAGACACGGCCCAGACUCCUACGGGAGGCAGCAGUAGGGAAUCUUCCGCAAUGGACGAAAGUCUGACGGAGCAACGCCGCGUGAGUGAUGAAGGUUUUCGGAUCGUAAAGCUCUGUUGUUAGGGAAGAACAAGUGCCGUUCAAAUAGGGCGGCACCUUGACGGUACCUAACCAGAAAGCCACGGCUAACUACGUGCCAC
rnacentral:rRNA from 1 species